GAGAAUACUCAAAGGAACUUGUUUAAUAAUCGUCAAUACUCGCUAAUUUUCACCUCUAUUUGCAAGCCUAUAUACCGCCGUAUAAAAAACCUCAAAAUACCAUUAUUAAGAAAUACUUUAAAAAUUCAGGUCAUGGUGUAGCUCAUAAUAAGAGUCUAAAUUAGUUACUAUAAAUACAAUUUAUGGAACUUGUAUAAAUUAAAAUAAAAAAGGAUUUAAUUUCAAUUUGUCAAUAAUAAUAACAAAUGAAAACCUCCCAUC
rnacentral:rRNA from 1 species